GAUGAAGAACGUAGCGAAAUGCGAUACGUAGUGUGAAUUGCAGAAUUCAGUGAAUCAUCGAAUCUUUGAACGCACAUUGCGCCCUUUGGUAUUCCAAAGGGCAUGCCUGUUCGAGCGUCAUUUGUACCCUCAAGCUUUGCUUGGUGUUGGGCGUCUUGUCUCCAGUCCGCUGGAGACUCGCCUUAAAGUCAUUGGCAGCCGGCCUACUGGUUUCGGAGCGCAGCACAAGUCGCACUCUUUUCCAGCCAAGGUCAGUGUCCAACAAGCCUUUUUUCAACUUUUGACCUCGGAUCAGGUAGGGAUACCCGCUGAACUUAAUCAUAUCAAUAAGCGGAGGA
rnacentral:misc_RNA from 1 species